UACGUAGGGUGCAAGCGUUAAUCGGAAUUACUGGGCGUAAAGCGUGCGCAGGCGGUUUUGUAAGUUUGUCGUGAAAGCCCCGGGCUCAACCUGGGAAUGGCGAUGAAGACUGCAAGGCUUGAAUCUGGCAGAGGGGGGUAGAAUUCCACGUGUAGCAGUGAAAUGCGUAGAGAUGUGGAGGAACACCGAUGGCGAAGGCAGCCCCCUGGGUUAACACUGACGCUCAGGCACGAAAGCGUGGGGAGCAAACAGG
rnacentral:rRNA from 1 species